rnacentral:lncRNA from 13 species
AAGCGGGAGGAGCUGUGCACAUUGUUGGGCUUCAUGGCUGUGGCUACAGACCCACUGGAAAUCAAGCUAGACAAAGAGCUGAGACCGUAAGAGUAAUGCCCUGCUGGUAAUCUAUGAACGUUUGAACAUCUUGGCCAUGUACUGUUAUAAUCUCCACCCGGCACAGCCAGAAGAGGACUGGCCACCCCUCAGAGCCUGGUUCCUCUCUAGGUCUCUUCCUAGGUUCCUGCCUUCCUAGGGAGUUUUUCCUAGCCUUGAUUGAUUGAUUGAUUGAUUGAUUGACUGAUUGAUAAUGCACAUGGGUCAGUUACUGUUUCUGUAGGGAGUCAGAGCAUUCUAAUUCAGACCUUGAUUAACCAGAAUAUAUUCUGUUUCAAAUUAUGUUGGAAUUACUAUCGUCAUUAUAUGGUCUCAUUUUCAGAUUGAGAACAAAAUGGUUAUGAAGAUAGCUUUUUCCAGAGCCAUUAUCCUCAGCAAAUUUGCUAGCCAACGAGAAAGUGAACCUUCUGGGGCUGUUCAUGCCGGACAAUCAUCAUUAUAUUUUUAAGAUACCAGAAUCUUUGCACAAGCUGGUCAGAGACAAACUCGCCAGAGUUGUGCACGGGAAACAACCAGAGGUGAAAUAUAUAUCUGGCCGUAGUCUUUGUGGAGAGUGCUCUGACUCAGAUGUCUCACAUUUUGCUCGCUUUGUUAUCCUUAGGCUCCACCUUCUGUCAGCAAGCCUCAACAAAGGCUUAUUAUACUCAAAGAAGGACUAUACUCAAAGAACAACAAAUGAAGAGCUGUUUGCAUUACGGAAGAACAAGCUUUUCACUACACCUGCAAUAACAUCUGCUAAAAACGUGUAUGUGAGAAAUGAAAUUUGAUUUGAUGAAGGGCCAAAUCAGAGGAGGCUGGUGGGGGGGGGGGGCUUUAGGAGGAAGGGCUUCUUGUAAUGGCUGGAAUUGAAUAAAUUGAACAGUUUGCAUAUGUUUGAUGUGUUUGAUACCGUUCCAUUGAUUCCAUUCCAGUCCUUGCAAUGAACCCAUCCAACUAGAACUCCUCCCACUCAGGACCGCCUCAAGCCUUUUGGGGGGCCUAUGCGAGAUUUGACGGUGGAGAGAAACAUUUAUGUUUUAAAGUUGAUUUCCUGCAAUUCUAUACAUUUUGCCAUGUGGCGCAGAGAAAAUGUUGCAGGUCAGGGCCUCUGGGCGGGUGCCAUGCAUGCUCGAUUGGUAUUCGACUGUGAUUAAAUUCCAUCAGAUAAAAAAUGUCAUGACAUGCCUGAUGGAAACAGAACAUUUGACGGUAAACUUUCCAAAUGUAGACAAAACUAAAUACGCUAGUGAAGGUGGCCUCUUUUUGUCUGCAAAAUUAAUUAUGAGAGAAAUGUCGGUGGAAAUGCUUUUAUGCGAAAAUAUUUAUAUAAUAACCCUCAUAUCGAAGUAAACUUGGAGUCACGCGAUGACAUGUUCUGUGACCCUCCAACUAUGAUUCGUUAGGAAAUCAUGCACUUUAUUCGGCAACAAAUGAAAUAAGUUAUGAUGAGCUUCACAGGGUGGUGAAGUGCCAGGUGAUGAGCUUGAUGCUCCUUUCCAAUAAUUAUCGAGGGUCUUAUGCUGGUGACGUGAUGACGAUCGAUGCUUGGCUACCGUUUGACAAAUAAAAAUAUCUUGCUCUUUUGUCCAUAAUAAUAUUAUCAUGUAUAGUGCAUUCUGAAAGUAUUCAGACCCCUUAACAUUUUCCACAUUUUGUUACGUUUCUAAAACAGAUGACAUAAAAAAGGUCUCUCAUCAAUUUACACACAAUACCCUAUAAUGACAAAGUCAGAACAGGUUUUUAGAAACUUUAGCAAAUGUAUAAAAAAAGAAAAAAAAGAAAUACCUUAUAGACUCAAAAUUCAGCUCAGGUGCAUCCUGUUUCCAUUGAUCAUACUUGAGAUGUUUCUACAACUUGAUUGGAGUCCACUUGUGGUAAAUUCAAUUGAUUGGACAUGAUUUGAAAAAGGCACGCCUGUCUACAUAAGGUCCCACAGUUGACAGUGCAUGUCAGAGCAAAAACCAAGCCAUGAGGUCAAAAGAAUUGUCCGUAGAGCUCCGAGACAGGAUUGGGUCGAGGCACAGAUCUCGGGACGGGUACCCAAGAACACAGUGGCCUCCAUUAUUAUCAAAUGGAAGAAGUUUGGAACCACCAAGACUCUUCCUAGAGCUGGCCACCCGGCCAAACUGAACAAUCAGGGGAGAAGGGCCAUAGUCAGGGAGGUGACCAAGAACCCGAUGGUCACCCUGACAGUGCU